UAGGGAAUCUUCGGCAAUGGACGAAAGUCUGACCGAGCAACGCCGCGUGAGUGAAGAAGGUUUUCGGAUCGUAAAACUCUGUUGUUAGAGAAGAACAAGGACGUUAGUAACUGAACGUCCCCUGACGGUAUCUAACCAGAAAGCCACGGCUAACUACGUGCCAGCAGCCGCGGUAAUACGUAGGUGGCAAGCGUUGUCCGGAUUUAUUGGGCGUAAAGCGAGCGCAGGCGGUUUCUUAAGUCUGAUGUGAAAGCCCCCGGCUCAACCGGGGAGGGUCAUUGGAAACUGGGAGACUUGAGUGCAGAAGAGGAGAGUGGAAUUCCAUGCGUAGCGGUGAAAUGCGUAGAUAUAUGGAGGAACACCAGUGGCGAAGGCGGCUCUCUGGUCUGUAACUGACGCUGAGGCUCGAAAGCGUGGGGAGCAAACAGG
rnacentral:rRNA from 1 species